rnacentral:tRNA from 1 species
ACGCCAGUUGUCUAGUGGUAGGAUCUCAGCCUUCCAAGCUGAUGACGCGGGUUCAAUUCCCGCCUGGCGUA